AUGAGGCCGGGUUUGGGUCGUUCUAUCUAUAUCAAGCUUCCUAAGACAUUACAGGUCUCAAAGUCCUCAAUUCCUCAAUCUCAACCUUUUGAUCCUAGAUAUGCUCCUAAUUGUAGUGCAAAGACCCAAUAUUCCAUUCCCGAAUUUCUGGAUCAACCCAAAGAUAGUCAUAGUGGAUUAAACUCGCAGUACUUAUACUUGCUGUAUGGAUUCUUAUUAGCAAUAUUUUGUGUAGAGGUGAUAUUUGUGGCACUAGGGUGCUGGUUUUUGUUGAGAAGGGAGGGAAAGCAGUUACCAGGAGUAUGGCCAGCUGAGAUUGGCUAUGAAAUGAUAACCAACCAUUUUCGCGGAUACACUUACAAGGAGUUGCAGAGAGCGACUCAAAAGUUUAAGGAUCAAAUUGGGUGCGGGGCAUCUGGUCAUGUAUACAAGGGGGUCUUGAAGGACAAGAGGGUAGUGGCGGUGAAAAGGUUGGCAGACAUAAACCAAGGCGGGGAAGAAUUCCAACAUGAACUAAGUGUGAUUGGGAAGAUUUACCAUAUGAAUCUGGUGAGGGUAUGGGGGUUUUGUUCUGAUGGCCCACGCAGGAUAUUGGUUCUAGAGUACGUUGAGAAUGGUUCAUUGGAUAAAACUUUGUUUAGUAGCACAAGGUUACUUGAAUGGAAGGAAAGGUUUAAUAUUGCUAUAGGGGUGGCAAAAGGAUUGGCGUAUCUUCAUCAUGAAUGCUUGGAGUGGGUUAUCCAUUGUGACCUGAAGCCUGAAAAUAUAUUGUUGGAUGACAACUUGAACCCGAAGAUCAGUGACUUUGGCCUUGCUAAACUUGUGAGUAGAGGUGGAUCCAAUAAAACUGUGUCGAGGAUCCAUGGAACAAGAGGUUACAUAGCUCCUGAGUGGGUCUCUAGCCAACCAAUAACAGCAAAGGUUGAUGUCUACAGCUUCGGAGUGGUUGUCUUGGAACUACUGAAGGGGGCUCGUGUUUCAGACUGGGCAUCAAAUGCUGACGAGGAAGUGGAAACGGUCUUUGGAUGGGUCAUUAGGAUGCUUGCAGAAAAUCUACUGAUGGAGGGUGGCCAACAGUUAUGGAUCUCCAACUUUGUUGAUUCGAGAUUGAAUGGCCAGUUCAAUGAGUUGCAAGCAAGAACUAUGGUCAAGUUGGCCAUUUCUUGCGUAGAAGAAGAUACCAGAAAAAGGCCCACCAUGGAAAAUGUUGUGCAAAUGCUUCUUUCGGUUGUUGAUGCAUAA
rnacentral:rRNA from 1 species